GACGAGUGAACAGGUCAAGAUAGAAACCAAAUAUCAAUUAUUCAGAUGCAAUAUGUCCAAACCAAUUAUUCACCUGAAGUAACAUUGACGCCUUUGCACACAUAACUCCUCCACCAAAAGAGGGAUACAAGGAUGUGUUAUACUGGGAUCCAGAAAACUUGUUUGCUGAUGUGUUUAUAAGAAUUGUCACAUCCUCCACACCAUCACUUCCCAUAGGUGACCAGCCAUCAUCAGCAAACCCAUUGACAGCAUCAUUGAAACCCCUAGAGAACAUUUUGAGGUAUGAUUAGCUAAAGAAACCAGUAAUCAACGAGACUCAUAAAUCAUCAUUAAUUAUCAUGUUCUCUACAGUCAAUCCAGUCUUGUUCAAGGAAGCACUACCUGCAGAGUUUUUGACUAAACGUCCGCAGUACAGCAGGUUGACGUCCGCCAGUACAUUGAAUUUCUCCGUUAGUCUCUUGAGCAAUUUGUCUAAUGUGACGCAAUGCCUGGAAAACAUAUUCAACCCAUACAGUCAGAACAAAUAUGAUUUACUUGUCAAGAAAGUGAAACCUCA
rnacentral:lncRNA from 1 species